rnacentral:rRNA from 1 species
UACAGAGGGGGCCAGCGUUAUUCGGAAUUAUUGGGCGUAAAGGGCGCGUAGGCGGCCAUGCGUUGUCUUCCGUGAAAUCCCUCGGCUUAACCGAGGACGUGCGGAAGAAACUGCAAGGCUCGGAGUCCGGAAGAGGGGGGCGGAAUUCCCGAGUGUAGCGGUGGAAAUGCGUAGAUAUUGGGAGGAACACCAGUGGCGAA